UGGGGAAUAUUGCACAAUGGGCGAAAGCCUGAUGCAGCGACGCCGCGUGAGGGAAGAAGGUUUUCGGAUUGUAAACCUCUGUCUUCGGGGACGAUAAUGACGGUACCCGAGGAGGAAGCCACGGCUAACUACGUGCCAGCAGCCGCGGUAAAACGUAGGUGGCAAGCGUUGUCCGGAAUUACUGGGUGUAAAGGGAGCGCAGGCGGAAUGGUAAGUUGGACGUGAAAUCUAUGGGCUCAACCCAUAGCGUGCGUUCAAAACUAUUGUUCUUGAGUGAUGUAGAGGUAGGCGGAAUUCCCGGUGUAGCGGUGGAAUGCGUAGAUAUCGGGAGGAACACCAGUGGCGAAGGCGGCCUACUGGGCAUCAACUGACGCUGAGGCUCGAAAGUAUGGGGAGCAAA
rnacentral:rRNA from 1 species